GUAGCACCUCAUGACUCGUCUCUCCCCCACCCCCCUUUCACUGCCGCCCAGCAGACCACAGACUCUGAAACCGCUGCAGAUUGAGCACUGAUCACUUCAAGAAAAGAAAGGUGUCCCCCACCUCAAAGCCCCACAUGAGCUCUGCCUGAGAGAAAUGGGGGCUGAUUACUUAGUCUGCCAGCAUGGGCACACAAUGCUCCCUUCUCCCCGAUGGUCACCUGUGGAAACCGCACUGCGCAGAGACCCUGACUUUCUGGAAACAUCCGUGGAACGCUCUGUGAAAACGCCUUUCGAGUACACGGCACAUUCUUUUGAACCUCUUCUGCACUGGAACAUCUUGUUCCUUCAGGGAUUGAUACUUGGAAACAGCCAGAAGUCAUUUGGAUGCACGUUUGGAAGACAAGGAAAACUAUCAUGCUACAGAAUCGCUGCUGGUGAAAUCUGAGAGAUGCUUUGGGGUGUGAACGAAAGUCAGGGGUUCUCACCUUGGAGCGUGGAGAUUCUGAGUAUAACUUUUUUGGGGGGUUAUGUCUUUAGCUGAUGUUAUAGCCUCCCAGUGAUUCCACAAUUCAAAAAAGUCAAUGAUAUAAGGUCCUUUUUCUGUGGGUUGUGGAGAGAAGUCAUGGGUCAAGAGAGCAGAGUGCAGGUUGUAGCUUCACCUGUAAUUUGAUGUGUGGUCACAGUGGUUUCCAGAACUCCCAAAACUUCCAUGUCCUCACAUGCAAACUGGGGGAGUGAGUUGUGUCUCCAAUACUGAGUUACUCUGGGUUUUAGUUAGGUUUCUAUUGCUGUGACGGAACACCAUGACCAAAAAGCAAGUUGAGAAGGAAAGGGUUUAUUUGGCUUAUGCUUCCAGAUUGUACUCCAUCAUUGAAGGAAGUCAGGACAUGAACUCCAAAAGGGCAGGAAUCUGGAGGCAGGAGCUGAUGCAGAGGUCAUGGAGGAGUGCUGCUUACUGGUUUAUUCCUCAUGGUUUGUUCAGCCUGCUUUCUUAUAGAGUGGAGGACCACCAGCCCAGGGAUGACUCCACCCACAAUGGGCUGGGCCCUCCCCCAUCAAUCACUAAUUAAUAAAAUGCUCUACAGGCUUGCCUGCAGCCUGAUUUUUUUCUAUUCUCUCAUACAAUACAUCCCAACUCCAGCCUUCCUUCCCUCCGCUCCUCCCAGUCCCCUGCCCCCAGAUCCACUGCUCCUCCAUUUCCUUUCAGAAAAGAGCAUGCCUCCCAAUGAUCUUAUGGAGACAUCCUCUCAGAUGAUUUUAGCUUGUGUAGAGUUGACAUAAAACUAUCCUGCACACUCUUUAAUCCCAUAAAAUCCAAGCAGAGAAGAUUCAGGAAACAACAACUUGUUUUUGAAAAUCAAACAUCUUUUGGCCAAGCAGGUAAUUCAGCUUUCCCAGGUGACUCUCUCAAAUGUCAGUCUUCAUUUGGAUGAUUUAGGACUAAUGUGCCUGAUCACAGACAUCAGCAUCCUGGUAUUGGAACUAGGAAUCUAGAGACAUCAAGCAGGCCUAAUCCGAGAGGGAAGGCAGAGAGGCUCAAACAGCAGAGGGACUUGUUCAGAAUUGUAGGAGGCACGGAGGUCCUUGUGCUCACAGAUAAGCACUAGGAGAACCAGGAAGAGUAGCACAUAGGCUUGGUUCCUUCAAGCCAACGAAUGCAAUACCUGUUAUCCGCCCAGAAGGCUGGGAGCAGAUGAGUGUUCUAGCCCAGUGACAUUUGCAUUAUCUGUGUGGCUGCAUGAGGCCCUCUUCCUAGACCCUUAUUCUAAGCUUGUUUUUCUCAGUCAAUCUAUACAACCUAUCUUGAUGGCAGGUGUCACAUGUAGUCAAUCUAUAGAACCCUUAUGGAAGAUGUCACGUGUACUUCACAAAGAAUUUUGAUGUAGUCAUGUCUGAUCUUUAUUUAGCUUAUUUUGUUCCUCAAAGAGAUUUAUAUGUGCUUUAUUGUGCACAUGGGAUUGGGUUCAUUAUCACCUGAAAAAUUUUGACCAAACUGUGCUGUGCUUAAAUAUGCCUAAAAUAAAUUACUUGGGGUCAGCUUCCUGAUGUUUGAACCGAUGACCAGCUAUUUGCUAUGUUGAACCAAGCUGCCUUCUUGCCUCCCGGGGAUUGUCCCUCUGCUGGCCUUGAAGGUCACAGAGAUACACACACCCCUCCUGUGCACACAUGGUACAAAGGGUUGAGGAAUAAGAGGGAGCCUGGAAGGGGCAGCAGAAUGCUGCUAGGGGCAGGAAGCAUCAGCUGAGGCAAGUACCAUAGGAGACCAGAAGCAGGGGUCUGCCUUGAGUGAAGGUUCUGAGGCUGGGGAUGUAGCUCACUGCUAGAGAACCUGCCUAGGUAGGAGGAUUUGGUCUCCAGAGGUUAAUCCGGGGUGGAGUGGAAUAAACAGAAUUCAGGCAAGAGAACUAGUUGUCUGGGACUGAACCCCACUUAGCAGGAGCCUAAUCUAGGACCUAGGGUGCAGAGUAACUUGAGACUAGACCAGAGGCUGUCUUCAGGAUAUAGCCUGCACUAAAGACUCUGCCAUUAGCCAUAGAAGACAGGACUCUGGUGACCUUCUGAAGUUGGGGAAUAGCUUAGGAGCUACCUGAUGGCUGUGGGUUCAUUCCCACUCUCUCCCUCCUGAAAGCUUAAACAAUUUUUCUAGUGAUAAACGUUUGUUGGUAUAGAUUCCAUUGAUAAAUAUGGUUAAUUUUUUUAGAUUCGUAUUUUAGCAUGCGAUUUUUUAAAUAAAAUUAUUUAGGAAACAUUUGUCCAUGGUUCCUUAGUUACAGUUAAAUAGGAGCAGGUAGUUGUUGGGUACUCUUGCAUAGCAGGGCCAGUGUAGGUAGUGACUAUUAGAAGAGAUCUGGGCAUGGUGGCACAUGCGUACAAUCUGAGCACUUGGAAGGCUGAGAGAGGAGGAUUGCCAUGAAUUCAUGUCCAUCUUGGGCCACACAGUGAGUUCCAUGCCAGCCUGGACUACGGAGUAAGAUCUGAUCUCAACAAGCUAAAUCUCAAAGAAAAGCGUAUGAAAGUUUUCAUCAUAAUAAAUGGCAAAUGUUUGAGGAAAUAAUGUUUAAUCUGAUUUUUAAAAAGCAUUAUGCAGGACGGGAGAGAUGGUUCAGCAGUCAAGGGCACAUGCUGCUCUUGCAGAUGACCCAGUUGGUAUACCACAUGGUGGUUUGCAACUGUCUUUAACUGCAGUUUCUGGGAUCCCAAACCCUCUUCUGGCUUCUGAGGGCACCAGGCACACAGAGUGCACAUACACACAUGUAGGCAAAUGAUCAUACACAUAAAAUAAAAGAAACUAUAAAGUAGUAUGUAAGCAUUAUGCACAGUCUUAUGUUUUUAAGGUAGCGACCUAAAAUGUGCGCCUUGGUUCUCAUUCAUAUUCCUCUAUCUACAUAGAUUCUCUUUAGUAGGUAAUUGUCCUGAAAACAGAGCGACUAUCAAUACAUUUUUCAGCCUUUUUCAUUAUCAACCAUUGUGUUUGGAGGCAUAAAAGCACUCAUUAUCAUGA